rnacentral:rRNA from 1 species
GCAGCAGUGAGGAAUAUUGGUCAAUGGACGCAAGUCUGAACCAGCCAUGCCGCGUGAAGGAUGAAGGCCUUAUGGGUUGUAAACUUCUUUUAUAGGGGAAGAAAACUACGCUUUCUACGGUAACCGACGGUACCCAAGGAAUAAGCACCGGCUAACUCCGUGCCAGCAGCCGCGGUAAUACGGAGGGUGCAAGCGUUAUCCGGAUUCACUGGGUUUAAAGGGUGUGUAGGCGGGCAUUUAAGUCAGUGGUGAAAUCUCCGAGCUCAACUAGGAAACUGCCAUUGAUACUAUUUGUCUUGAAUAUCGUUGAGGUAGGCGGAAUAUAUCAUGUAGCGGUGAAAUGCUUAGAUAUGAUAUAGAACACCGAUUGCGAAGGCAGCUAACUAAGCGAUGAUUGACGCUGAGGCACGAAAGCGUGGGGAUCRAACAGGAUUAGAUACCCUGGUAGUCCACGCCCUAAACGAUGAUUACUCGACAUACGCGAUCCACAGCGGUGUCCGAGCGAAAGCAAUAAGUAAUCCACCUG